GAAACACCUCAUAUGAUGAAGCCUUAUUAAGGUGUUUAUGGUGUUAUGAGUAUGUGAUGCUGCACAAUUACCUUCUCAGAGUCAUUAUGAGCACAUCUACUGCUUCGGGACGAGCUGGAAUCACAGUCUGUCAUAAUUAACGCCAGACAAGAAGAGAAACUAGACAUUCCUUUAAGAAAAAACAAAUGGAUUUAUUACAAACUAUAACAGACAGAGACAUUUCAAAGUGCAGCACAGACAGACGAGACAGACGUUCACAUACACACAUAUUUACUGCUCAAUACAGCACCAAAAAAAAAUUCAAGUAAUCAGUCCAGUCACAGCAAGGAAUUAUGGGUCCUUUUAUCACUAAUGAAAGGCAGGUGUGGCCUGACGGUCUCACGACCUGAUGGGCGAAUCACAUGCUCUGAUGAGUGGGUCUCACGUUCUGAUGGGCGAAUCACAUGCUCUGAUGGGCGGAUCUCAUGCUCUGAUGAGCGGGUCUCACGUUCUGAUGGGCGAAGCACAUGCUCUGAUGGGCGAAUCACAUGCUCUGAUGAGCCAGUCUUUUGCUCUGAUGGGCGGGUCAUAUGCUCUGAUGGGUGGGUCUCAUGCUCUGAUGGGCUGGUCUUACGUUCUGAUGGGCGAAUCACUUGCUCUGAUGGGCGGGUCUCACGUUAUGAUGGGCGAAUCACAUGCUCUGAUGGGCGAAUCACAUGCGCUGAUGAGCGAGUCUUUUGCUCUGAUGGGCGAAUCACAUGCUCUGAUGAGCGAGUCUUGCUCUGAUGGGGGAAUCACAUGCUCUGAUGGGCGGGUCUUUUGCUCUGAUGCUCACAGUGAGAUCUAAGUGAUGUCACUCAUCAGCAGCUCACUCGUCUAACCGCAGCACUCACGGGUGGAUCUGUGUUUGUGAUUCUCCGCUCUGAUAUUCCUGAAGGAUCUUCUCCAGCUCUUCUAAACACGGGCCUAUCGCUCGCCUUGACACCGGAGCCAUUUUGAACCUAUGAGAAAAAAACAACAAGAAGGACUGAAAGCAGACUGAAGAGAGCUCAGGGUUGCACGAUUCAUCGAAAUAUAACCCAAACGGUGUUUCGUAGUGAAGCACAUCACUCUGAUCUCAAUCUGGGCUCAAUAAAUUCUUCUAUUUAUUUGUAUUAAAAGUCUUG
ensembl:lncRNA